rnacentral:lncRNA from 1 species
UGCCAACAGACUCAGUCAACCUAAAGCCAUUAGUUGCCAUGUCUACUACCGCCACAAGAAAAGCAGAGCAGCUUUAACAAACUGAUUUGGGAAAUUUGACAGCUUUAUUAACAUGUUUUCUUUUAAUUUCUGCUCAGUUAUUUUCUAUGAUUUCUUAUCUCAAAAAGUUAUUUUCCAUGAUUUCAGUUUCAACCACCUUAAAUGGAUAGUCAAAACAACUAAUACUGUUUCAAGAAAAGAAUAGAAAACUUCAAAACCAUCAAGGGUAAUCCAUAUAAACACAAAUUUAUAAUUUGUUAGUCACUUAUAGUCCAUCUCCAUCGUAAUAAAAAUAUUAACCAUGAUUUUUUCCAAACCAUUAUAAAAUCCAGUAGACUUAUUUCAAAAAUACAUAUCCUACCAAAAGUAUCCAUGUAUAAGAAGAAAAUUAUUAUUACUGCCAAGAAUAAUAUGGCCAUGGACUCAGUCAACCUAAGGCCGUUUAGUGGCCAUGUCUAUAACUGCUGCAAGAAAAGAGGAGCAGCUUUACCCAACUGAUUUGGGUAAUCUGCCCGUUUGACCUAUAUUUAUUGUUUUUGAAUUUCUGUUCAGUUAUUUUAUAUUAUUUCAGUUCCUACUUUGAUAUCAUGUGAUAUUUUUAUGUUCUGUUUCUUUAGGUGGCAGUUAUCCGCUUUCUAGGAAAAGUGCUGUUGUACAUUCUGUACUUAAAGACAUUUCCCAUGAUGAAUGAAAGUAAGAGAGUUUUUAUCCAGAAAAAGUGUGAGUUUCUUGCUAAACUUAGAGAUAAAAGAAUUCUCCAAUUAGCCCUUACUAACUGGUCAAGCUAGGUCAUAUACAGGAAGAAAAGCAAGUAAACAUUCACUUCCAAUUUUUGAGUUAUAUGUUGACGGAUCAUAACUUGAUCCCUACUACAGCCUCUAACAAUUUGGCAGCAGAGCCAAUCGUUAUGCAUGGAAGAUUUUCUCACUCUUCAACAACAAUUUGAUACAUUUCUAAACACGUAUCAAGAGGAUCCAACUACAACUGAACAAUUAAGCUCUGGCUGCUACAGUUGCAAGAGCUGCCCUUUAAGUUGCCUAUAAAGAGACGUGGCCACUAAAUGGAUUUGACCGAAUACUAUUCUCGACAGUCAUAUAAAAAUAAAGUAGAAAUAAAAAAGAAAGAUGAAAAAAAAAAAACCUUUUGCAAGAGAAACAUCUUCUCAAAAUUUCCAUUGCCAUGGUAUACAAUUUAUGCCACAAACCAGAGUCUGUUUGAAGAUUUGAGAUACUUUUGCUUAAAGGAAAUGAGCCAAUUACAAAUGAAUUGUUAAACAGCCAAAGAAAGAAGCUUCCAUCAGCUAAAUUAAAAUAUUUAUCUAUAUAUAUAUAUAUAUGUGUGUGUUUGAGUAUGUAUAUACGGGAUGAGAUAAGAAAAACAGUUA